UUUAUCCUCUCUUUGUUUCUUCCGUCUUUCCCUUCUCUUCAGCUUGAACAUAGAGAAAUCGAGUGACAAACCAGAGAUGAGAACCAAAAACAAAACCAGAGAUGAAACUUAAAGUAUUUUACAGAUUUGUUUCUUUGUAAACUAGCCGAUUUAACCAAAACCAAUAUCAGAGAUGAAACCUAAAGUAUGCAAAACCCUAUUUUAUAGAGAGAUCGAGAGAAACCAGUUCUGAAUUUUACUUUUAGCUUGAAUCUCUCAGAAUAAGAGUCAAUUGAAGAAGUAAAUACAUAGAAGAUCUCUAACCUCAGAGAAUUAUGGAGAAAUCAAAUCUUUCUCGACAGAUGGAUGGGUUGCACCAAAACUUUCUGAAAGGGAUGACAACUUCAUGCUCCACAUGCUUACUACUGGGAAGAGAUAUCUGGCUAAUAGUGGGAUCUGGGAAGAGGUCAUGAAUGAACUGGAUAAAACAAGUGUGGUGUAUUGAUCGGCUCUUGGAUGGGUGGUAUGAAGUGAUAUGUUACACGAGAAGCUUGAUGCUACUAAGAAUCUAGGUUUGCUAUACAAAUUCGACACAAGAAUUUUCUGGUAAAGUGGUACAGUAUCCUAUUGCAUGAGCAUUAUAUACGAGAAGGAUGCAAGGAAGUUGUUCUUCUUGGAGCAUAUCAUUCCACCCUUUAAAUUUUGUAUACAUUCCGUUUGUUUGUUAAUUAAGUUUUGUUACAGAUUAUCAUUGAUGCAUUAUGGAUUUUACUUUGAGAAGGUUUAUGCUGAUACAAUUGAAGCCUUAAGGAUAUCUUACAAAAAGAUGAAUCCUUUCUGUGUUCCGUUUGCUAUUAUAAGGAUGGAUGGGCCCCAACUAUUCUAUCUCUACGUCAUGUGCCACCGGCAACUUUUGUAUUCUGAAUGCAGCGAAUCACAUUAUUAGAGGAGAAGCUGAUGUGUGAUGCUUCGCGGCGGCUCUGAUUCAGUAAUAAUACCUUCAGGCUUGGGAGGUUUUGUCGCAUGUUGACCAGUUUCAAAAAAGAACGAGGAUCCAAUCAAAGCUUCAAGCCCUUUUGGGAUAUUGUACUCACCCAUUAGCAGUACGGUUAGUCUCCCUGCACCAACGACUGAUCCUCACAUUCCCAAACAACUUCAGCAAAGCAGAGACCCUUCUCCAUAAAGAUACAAGUCCAGGGAGGUUAAGGUUCAAUCUUCUUAAGUAAAAGGGAUAAUCCUAGGAUUUUUCUUUGAGUUCUGUUUUGCAGUUGCUCAUUGACAUCCGUUUAAGGUAAUAAAAUAUGAAUCAUCCUUGAGUAGCCUUCUUUUCGCUAGACCAUAACUGGGUAGGGUAUAUCAUUUGUUUUGCAGUUUUUGGUGACCUCCAUAUAAGGUAAUGAAAUCUUAUUCAUCCUUGAGUAGCCUUCUUUUUCUCGAGGUUUUCGAACUUGGUAAAGGUUAACGACAAUCAGAAUUUUUAGGUGUUCAUGCAUACCAUGGCUGCACAUAACUCUUACUUAGGGACUUGAGUGUUGGGUAUCACGUGUCUUUGUUCUGUUUUCUUAUAUUUUUUUCAUUUGGAAAACUGAUGUCUAGCUGUUCUCUAACCGACCAACUGUAAGUUCUCCAUUAACCUUUAACAUGAUGCAUAAUAAGUUUUUGUUUAUUCAUGUCCAAUUUUUGUUGGUAUGUCCUGGUCUAUCACCUUUAGUAUACGAUAGGAAGAUGACCAUUGUUGGGUUACCAUGCUAUACACAAGCUUAUUUUGUAUUUCAUUCUUUGAUUAUUGUAGUUGCGGUUAAAAUUACUGUGUUUAGGUAUUGCAGUUUUAUGUAAAUUAAUCUUAUAUGAAGAUGAUAGAUUACUGAACAUUAUUUUACCUAUUUCGCAUCAGGAUACAAUAGUGAUGGCUACUAUUACAUGCCUUGCAAGGACUGCGUUAAGAAGAUGCAAAAACUGCAUUAAGAAAGUGAUUGGGAUGCUGUUGUUUUGUUGUUCCGUGGUGCAUACAAGUCUCUCUUUGCAGACUGAAUUGGCAAAUCUUCAAAAGAAUAAAAGAGAAGAUUUAUGUUAGGUGGUGGUGGACUAAAGAAAAGCAGAAAAUCGGAACAAGAUGCUCUAGUAAAGGUGGCAUUAUAAGAGAAUCAAGAAGACGGAGUUGGAUAAGCAUAAUAUGAUUUGAGUGACAAGUUGGAGGUAGUUUCUUAUUUCAUAAAAUUCUUGUAGAAAGUGUAUCCACUGCUUUGAUUGAACGAGAAACCCAAAAUAUGCUCAACUUUGAUCCCAAAUUGUAGAGAUGGACUUUUUAUCCGUUUAUUAUGUUAAAAUUCAGUCGCCUUACAUCUGUAAUUGAUUGUAUAUGGAUGGAUCCAUCUUUGAUGUUGCAAUUCCAUGUGAUAAUAGAAUUUAUUGAAUAAUGGUUUUGUUUAUGAUCGA